AGUUUUGAGAGUGGCGGCUGAAAAAUCUUGAGGAAGUAGAGAGUGUGUAUGCGAGACGCGUAAAAGAGAGAAAAACAGCAAAAGAAAAAGAGUCUGACUUAGGGUUGCAAGAGGAUGACUGAAUCAUCAUCAUCGCGUUCCGUUGGCGUGACUUUGAAGUUCUGGUAGAACCAUCCGAACCUUUUCUCGGGCAUCCCCCGCCUCGCUUGGUGAUUAAGCCUAAGUUAGUCUUUUCUUGGAUGAUUCUAGCCAAGUUGAGUUUAUUCAUUUCGUUAAUAUCACCAACGGGGGGAAGACAGUGGUGAGCUAGGCGGUGCGGUGGGGCCCACUACUAGCCAACACACAAAGUGAAUUCCGCCUUUAUACUACUUUUG